GACGAACGCUGGCGGCGUGCUUAACACAUGCAAGUCGAACGGAAAGGCCCUGCUUUUGUGGGGUGCUCGAGUGGCGAACGGGUGAGUAACACGUGAGUAACCUGCCCUUGACUUUGGGAUAACUUCAGGAAACUGGGGCUAAUACCGGAUCGGAGCUCCUGCUGCAUGGUGGGGGUUGGAAAGUUUCGGCGGUUGGGGAUGGACUCGCGGCUUAUCAGCUUGUUGGUGGGGUAGUGGCUUACCAAGGCUUUGACGGGUAGCCGGCCUGAGAGGGUGACCGGCCACAUUGGGACUGAGAUACGGCCCAGACUCCUACGGGAGGCAGCAGGGGGGAAUAUUGCACAAUGGGCGGAAGCCUGAUGCAGCAACGCCGCGUGCGGGAUGACGGCCUUCGGGUUGUAAACCGCUUUCGCCUGUGACGAAGCGUGAGUGACGGUAAUGGGUAAAGAAGCACCGGCUAACUACGUG
rnacentral:rRNA from 1 species